UAGGGAAUCUUCCACAAUGGACGCAAGUCUGAUGGAGCAACGCCGCGUGAGUGAAGAAGGUCUUCGGGAUCGUAAAGCUCUGUUGUUGGUGAAGAAGGAUAGAGGCAGUAACUGGUCUUUAUUUGACGGUAAUCAACCAGAAAGUCACGGCUAACUACGUGCCAGCAGCCGCGGUAAUACGUAGGUGGCAAGCGUUGUCCGGAUUUAUUGGGCAGUAAAGCGAGCGCAGGCGGAAUGAUAAGUCUGAUGUGAAAGCCCACGGCUCAACCGUGGAACUGCAUCGGAAACUGUCAUUCUUGAGUGCAGAAGAGGAGAGUGGAACUCCAUGUGUAGCGGUGGAAUGCGUAGAUAUAUGGAAGAACACCAGUGGCGAAGGCGGCUCUCUGGUCUGCAACUGACGCUGAGGCUCGAAAGCAUGGGUAGCGAACAGGAUUAGAUACCCUGGUAGUCCAUGCCGUAAACGAUGAGCAGCUAGG
rnacentral:rRNA from 1 species